UGGGGUGGGGUUUUUGUUUGUUUUCUUUUUCUGCCUUUCCCAAAUCACUCUCACUUUGCACCAUAUUCUCUCAUGUCUUUUUUUUUUUUUUUUUUUUUUACUAAGAAGGUUUUGACUUAAAACUGAAAAUAUUCCAAGUGACAAGUAAGUAGCCCCUUCUCAAAUAAAACCUGCAAUAACAUGCCUGGAUUACAUUAAGGAAUGCUGGAGGGGAUCCCAAAAACCAGUGUUUGAACAGUCAACCUGACAGAAUCCUAGGACACCAUUGAAAGGGCUCAUGUUACCUAACUGACUUAGAGCUAAUCGGUGUAAUCCACGUGACAAUACAUUGUCUGAUUUGGGGAACCUGCUGCCUUAAGGAGAGAGGGGCAGACCCUAGGGAGCCCCUGGGAGCGCCCCCAGCCUCCACCCCAGCAAUGUGACAGCAGCCGCCUUGCCCUCUGGCUCUGCUUCUGAACAAUGUGGACCAAGAAGCUUCAUAGAGUGAGAUAACUUGGAUUUAUGGAGCUCUACUUCAAAGGACGAUUAUCAACUGUUCAAGUGGACAGCAAAACCUCGAAAUGCCUUAGAGUACUCCAAAGAGAGGAAAAUAUGAAAGCAUUCUUUCUUGAGGAAGAGGACACUUCCUUCAGGAUCAUGUGUUCACAGUUCGCUCAACUCAAGGGAAAGGAGAAUAACUUGAAUAUGCACCAAACACAGGAAAUUUAUAAUGAGGACAAAAUCCAAGGAUAG
ensembl:lncRNA